rnacentral:rRNA from 1 species
GACGAACGCUGGCGGCGGGCUUAACACAUGCAAGUCGAAGGGAAAGGCCCUGCUUGUGUGGGUUGCUCGAGUGGCGAACGGGUGAGUAACACGAGAGUAACCUGCCCUUGACUCUGGGAUAACGUCAGGAAACUGGGGCUAAUACCGGAUAGGAGCUCCUGCUUCAUGGGGGGGGUUGGAAAGUUUCGGCGGUUGGGGAUUGACUCGCGGCGUAUCAGCUGGUUGGCCGGGUAGUGGGUUACCAGGGCUUCGACGGGAAGCUGCCCUGAGAGGGUGACCGGCCCCCUGUCGACAGUGCUACGGCCCGCACCACUACGGGAGGUUGCAGUAGGGGAUAGUGCCCGAUGCGGCGAAGCAUGAUGCAGCAACGCCGCGUGCGGGAUGACAGCCUUCGGUUAUGCAGCGGCUUUCGCCUGGGCCGAACCCUGAGUGCCGGUAAUGGGUAAAGAAGCACCGGCUAACUACGUG